rnacentral:lncRNA from 1 species
UCACUAAGAUAGCUACCCACUCAUCGAUGACUUGCUCAAAUUACAGCGAUGUAGAUAGUUCUUUGAUCUACAGUGCCUUGAUUGUUCAUAGUGGGGUUGCUGUAAUUUGAUUGUAUCAUAACUUGGGUACCUAGUCAUACAAAAUCUUGAGGUGUAUAUUGGCUACAGUAGGUCCAUUGUAGGAAUAGGGUGUAUACCAAAAUGGGAUCUAUCGAUCCUGG